rnacentral:lncRNA from 1 species
AAAAAAUAAAAAAUAAAAAUAAAAAAAGAGUAAAAUAAAGAAGAUAAAAUCACCUUUAGGUAUUUUUUGAAGAUAAAUUCUUUGUAUUGAUCAAAAUUCCCUCUUCCCUUACAUGAUUUUUGAAUGGCUUUUUAUAGCCAUCUUUUACAUGAUUUUCUAUUAUUUCUUUUUCUAUUUUGUAGGUGGUGGUGGUAGACAAUGGAUAUCAAAAAUGGGAGGAAAAAUGGGGCAAGUGGGAAAGUGGCUAGGUGGCUAAAGUUUCUUGGUUUUUUUUGGGGGGUUAGGUUUUUCUUUUUUUUGGGGGGGGUUAGGUUUUUUCUUUUUUUUGGGGGGGUUAGGUUUUUUUUUGGGGAGGGCUUAAUGGGCUUUUGAAUUGGGUUUAAUAUUUGGGUUUUGUAAUGGGUUUGGAUAGAUGUAAAUGGGUCAUGGGUUAAGGGUUUUAGUGAGUUUAGAGGUUUGGUUGGGUUUUGAUAUAAUCGGGCCCGGGCAAUUUGGGCUUCUACAGCUGCCCCUCUUUGCUCAUUGUCGUGCAACGAUAAUAGAGCAAAGACUUUCAAGGAAGACCAAACUUGCCCGGUCUUGCUAGGUCUUGACUUGCUUUGGAACUCUUCUUGUUUAGUUAGUCCCUUUUCAGUCCACCGCAUCUUGUAGCUUUGGUUCAAUCCACUGCAAAUUCGGAGAUAUGCCUUGUAGCUUCAAUCUGUUCCAAUGUAACUUCAAGGAUAUGAGAUUUGUGGCUUCGAUCCGCUUCACUGUAACUUCAGAAAGAUAAGAUCUACAACUUCAAUAAGCUCUUCUAUCGCUUCAAUGAGAUAAGGUUUUGGUCUUCUCUUCUGCCACUUUAGAAAGGCAAGAUCUGAUAUCCUCGAUCAGCUCCACUGUAACUUCAAUUAGCUUCACUGUAACUUCAGGGAUAUAAAAUCUGUGUCUUCGAUUAAUUCCAGUCUUUAUUCUUCACUCGGCAUGUGAUCCUGAG